rnacentral:rRNA from 1 species
AUUGAACGCUGGCGGCAGGCCUAACACAUGCAAGUCGAGCGGAGCGGCGGACGGGUGAGUAAGGCCUAGGAAUCUGCCUGGUAGUGGGGGAUAGCGUCAGCAAACGGGCGCUAUUACCGCAUACUCUCACCUGAGCCUAUGUCGGAUUAGCUAGUUGGUGGGGUAAUGGCCUACCAAGGCGACGAUCCGUAACUGGUCUGAGAGGAUGAGCAGUCACACUGGAACUGAGACACGGUCCAGACUCCUACGGGAGGCAGCAGUGGGGAAUAUUGGACAAUGGGCGAAAGCCUGAUCCAGCCAUGCCGCGUGUGUGAAGAAGGUCUUCGGGUUGUAAAGCACUUUAAGUUGGGAGGCGUUACCAACAGAAUAAGCACCGGCUAACUCCGUGCCAGCAGCCGCGGUAAUUC